CUUUUGAGGUCAUUUCAUUGCUUGGGGAGCGUUGAGGGAUUUGAUGUGGGGAGCAUUGUUAUAUUGGAUUGUUUGAUUAAUUGGGGAGCCAAUUGAUUGUUACCAUAUUCGGUUACCUUGGAGAAGGACUGAGGUGGGAAAGCUUGACUAACAGGCAGAAGGUUACCAGUUCAGGGAGCCUGGCCCACAAUUUGCCAGAGCAGCGCGAGGCAUUCUAAGCCAGUUGAGCAUUUAGAAGAGCUGGUCUUGCGGUAGCAAGCAGGAAUUUCCCCUUUGCUAAUCAGGGUCUGCCCUGGUUUGUAUUUGAAUGGGUGACUACAUAUGAGCACUCUAAGGCAGGGUUUUUCCCCUUUAAUGGUACUUCAGUUGCGUUAUAUUUGUUCCCAUUAAAAUAAAACAAAAUUAAAAUAAAAAUAAAAAGGAGAGAGAGGGAGAGUCCUUAAUCACUUAUUUCUUUUCGUUUAAGUUUCAACUGCCCUGAGCCAAUUUUGGAAGGGCAGUAUUGAAAUCGAAUUGAUAAUAAUAAUAAAAUAAAAUAAAUAAAAUUACAGCUAUCUCACCCCCCCCCUCGUUCCCGCAUUUGGCCACGUAAGCGAGUUGGGAAUUAGUGCAGCCUCUUUAAGGGGUUCUGCCAGGCCUGCUGAGUCAUGCCAACAGGGAAAGGGCCCAGCAAGGAGAAGGGCAAGGAGAAGGCCCCCGCCCCUAAGCGGCCUCCAGCACGGCCCAGGGAACCCAACCCCUCCUCUCGGUCAGAGGGUGAAGGGCAGCUGGUAAUGGUGAGGAUCGUGUCUCGCUUAGAUGCAUUCGAGUCCAGGAAAAAGUCCACUCGGCGGGAGGGGUCCAAGACGGUUGGGAAACAGGGGUCAAGGAAGGCAGGGAACCGACCUAAUAAGCAGCUGCAACUUUUACAGACCAUUGAGGUGAGGCUGGAUGCGCUGGAAAGUGAUGAAGGGGAGGCAUCUGGAUCAACGGAAAAUGCCAGCCAGAAAACCUUUGAUGCAGAUUUUGGGCACUUUGUAGCCAGAAGUUAGCAACACUUAAUGCAUUCUCUAGAUUGAUGAAACUAAGCUGCAAUAUAAGGCCUGUGAUGAAGAGGCAAGCACACGCAAGAGGGAAAGGAAAUAGUAUGCGGUACAGUUAUGUCAUUUUCUAUCAUUAUUUUUUGCGGGGUAGCAUAGUAAAAGCCUAAAUGAUUUAUAAGUAGAUGGGAAGGAAAAACUCCUGCCACAGAUAAUAGACAGCCCUAAAGUGCUUGUAUAUAAAUGGACUGAAAGUGCUCUUUAUUUAAACCUCACUAUUCCAUAAACCACUCACUUGUUUACUUGGUUUUGACUUAACGUGUUGCUGUUAAUUAAACUCUUUAUGUUAUGACCUGUGGUCACAACAAUAUACUUAUUACUUAUUUACUUAUAAAACUCUGUUAGAGUUUUACAUCUUUUGGUAUUGAUUGGCUCUCCUUUUGCAUGGGCCCUGGCAUUGUGCAGCAAAUUGCACACCCCGGCCCAAUAACAACACGUGUGGUUGUAUGAACAAGGGCCACUUUUAUUAAUAAAUUACAAUAAUCUGCAACAAGGUUUUUACAAUUAGAGUGCGGGUACCUCCUCUGUGGGUCAGCCACAUAAGGAGGACUGCCCACCACAGGGCGAAGGACUGGGUGUUGAUUCAGCCCGGCACCAAGUCCAGACAUCACCACAACCAUGAGGCUUUAACCCCGUUGAGGGGAGGCCAACCAGCCCCCACCCAGGCCACAAUAUUCUGAUUGGUGGAUGUCAGUAGGGACAGAUCCCAGCCCAAGGGCUGCAAAAGCUGCAAGGGCUGUUCCUCGCCUUGCAUAUUUGCCUUAAAUGGCCUUCCUGUCAGACACCAAAUUUAGACAACCUACCCCAACCCGCACUCACCUGAAAAGUGACCAAACAUGCAACAAUGACAACCUAACAAGUAGAGUCAGUGAGAAGUAGGCCAAAAAGGCCAUACAAGAGCCAAUAAGGUGUGACCCCAAACAUUUCUACUUGGCCCCAAAAUGUGACUGGACAACCCUCACUGAACUGAGGUGGGAGGGAUGGGUGCUUUGCCCCCAGAGCAGCUUAGAGUGAACAGAAGGGAGCCAGGCGCUUAUGUAGCUGCUUCCCUGCUCCCAUUGGCUGGCACAUAUCACAUGCUAAGUAAGAGAGCCAAAAUUGUGGCCCCCUGCCCACCUCAAGGGUUGGGCACACAACGCUACCCUACCCCCCAACCCCCAAACUGGAUGUGAUGGCGGGGAUCUGUUUUAACAUGUUAUGUAUUGCUUUGGUUUUGCAAGUUGUAGAAUUUAGAUGAAGGCAGUGAUAUAAUGUGGAUAUACCACAACCCAGAGGGUAUAAUUAACUCAGAAUAUACAUUUUCUAAAAGCACAGCCAGUCAUUGGCUUUGGGCCAGCUACAGCUAGCUGUGACUACAGUAGAACUGCAUGUUACAUGUUUUCCUUUCUUUUUGGGGAUGUGUUUCCACUGCAUCUUCUGCAGCUGCAAUCUGAUGUGGAAGAUUGGGACAUGGUUUUUCCCCAGUGGGUAGUAAAAGCAGCUGGAGUGAGCAGUUUUCAACAGAAAAAUAGCACAAGCACAGCAGUGUCUGAAAUCCAGCCAUUCUCAAAGAGUGCUUGAAUUGCUAUCCAAAUAUAACCUCUUGCUGGAAAACCACCAGACAAGUCUUCAACAUCAGUUUUGCAUCUAAAGCGGCAGUUUAUGUCUUCUAUAUGUCUGCUUUCAGAUUACAGAAUGUGCAGUUUUUGCUGCUGCUCUUGCCGCUGUUCACUGCAGAACUCCCGACAGCUAAUUCUCCCAUUUGUUACAGUAUAGAACUGGUGUCCUACAGAGGUUUUAUAUACAGUCAUAUUAGGUCCUCACAAGCUUCCUUUUUAAUGCUGUUUUUUAAAAAAAUGGUGUUUGCAAAAUGACAUUUUUCUGUUAAGUUGCAUUGUUUUAAGGGUUUUGUCUGAUUUUUUAUUUUAAAAAACCAUCACUAACAUUAUGAAGGCUGUUUGUUUUUGCUGCCAUAUACUUCUUUAGGUGCUAUCAAGCUUGAAAAAGAGAGUGGAAAGGCAAGAUAUGAGUCUAUGUGAGAAUACAAUUAUGGCAUCGAGCCAGGUAUUGGAAGAGGCAUCAAAACUAUUGCUGGAUAUGGAACUCUGUAUAUUUACUUGCCUUACCUUAUCCCAAAGAUGAAAAAAUGAAGCUUUCAAAGAAAAGAACACCAUACUUAAUGUGAAACAUGGAGGAGGCUCGGUUAUGUUUUGAGGCUGCUUUGCUGUGUCUGGCACGGGGUGCCUUGAGUCCUUGCAGGGAACAAUGGAAUAUCAAGACUAUCAAGACAUUCUGGAGCAAAAUGGACUGCCGAGUGUCAGAAAACUCUGUCUCAGUCGCAGGUUAUGGAUCCUCCAACAGGAUAAUGACCCAAAACACACAGCUAAAAGCACCCAAGAAUGGCUAAGGACAAAACAUUGGUCUAUUCUGAAGCAGCCUUCUAUGAGCCCUGAUUUGAAUCCUAUCGAACAUCUAUGGAAAGAACUGAAAUAUGCAGUCUGCAGAAGGCACCCUUCAAACCUGACACACCUGGAACAGUUUGCUCAGGAAGAGUGGGCCAAACUACCUGUUGACAGUUGCAGAAGUCUCAUUGAGAGCUACAGGAAUCGCUUGUUUGCAGUGAUUGCCUCUAAAGGUUGUGCAACAAAAUAUUAGGUUAAGGGUCCCAUCAUUUUUGUCCAUGCCAUUUUCAUUUGUGUUAUUAUUUGAAAUAUUCUGUUGCAUCAAAACUCCAAAGCAAAGUCUGAUUUUUGUUAAAUGCAGAAUAAACAAUUAUGGG